rnacentral:rRNA from 1 species
AGAACGAACGCUGGCGGCAUGCCUAAUACAUGCAAGUCGAACGAACUCUUCGGAGUUAGUGGCGCACGGGUGCGUAACGCGUGGGAAUCUGCCCUUGGGUUCGGAAUAACAGUUGGAAACGACUGCUAAUACCGGAUGAUGACGAAAGUCCAAAGAUUUAUCGCCCAGGGAUGAGCCCGCGUAGGAUUAGCUAGUUGGUGAGGUAAAGGCUCACCAAGGCGACGAUCCUUAGCUGGUCUGAGAGGAUGAUCAGCCACACUGGGACUGAGACACGGCCCAG